CAGCCGCCGCGGUAAUACGUAGGGUGCAAGCGUUAAUCGGAAUUACUGGGCGUAAAGCGUGCGCAGGCGGUUCGGAAAGAAAGAUGUGAAAUCCCAGAGCUUAACUUUGGAACUGCAUUUUUAACUACCGGGCUAGAGUGUGUCAGAGGGAGGUGGAAUUCCGCGUGUAGCAGUGAAAUGCGUAGAUAUGCGGAGGAACACCGAUGGCGAAGGCAGCCUCCUGGGAUAACACUGACGCUCAUGCACGAAAGCGUGGGGAGCAAACAGGAUUAGAUGCCCUGGUAGUCCACGCCCUAAACGAUGUCAACUAGCUGUUGGGGCCUUCGGGCCUUGGUAGCGCAGCUAACGCGUGAAGUUGACCGCCUGGGGAGUACGGUCGCAAGAUUAAAACUUAAAGGAAUUGGCGGG
rnacentral:rRNA from 1 species